ensembl:lncRNA
GGGUUCGAGCAGCCCCGCCUCUGGGGGCCAAGGCUGGUAGUGAACUUGAUUUGGGAAAGCAGAUUUUCCUUUUUAAUAAUAUUUACCUGCUCCCCAUGCUCUCCUAUAUUGGCGUUUCCAGGACAGCCUCUUCUCAGCUUCAGAAACCGGACAAAUAAGAUAACGCGCCCGCUCCCUCGCGGGUUGCCAGGCAGAACUGAUGGUGUGACCCUGGACUGGUCCCCGUCGGCCCCUUUCCGGUGUUUUGCGUUUCUUUCUCCUUGCCCUCGGCUUACGUGACGUUACUAGAUGAUAUGUUUAAAAUUUAGUAGAUAAAUGAGACCCUAGCUGCCUGAAAACUGAGACCCAGCCCGUUUGGUACAGCCACGCCGCCGCCAAGCUCUCCAGUGCCGGAGGAGGCCCCGAGGUUCGCUGCCCCAGGCCCGGACUCCAACCAGGACACCUCUCCCUGACGAUCCGGGGCCCAACCCUAACAGCAAGUACAGUUCUGAGAAUUGUGGAACUUCAUCCUUUCAUUUUAAGACAUUCCUGCCUUUGCUUGAUGGAAUCCUGUAGGCUUGCAAAGACUCCUUGCUUCGUGCUUUUCUGCCCGUCUGCCUCCUGCACCCUGGUUCCUCUCCACAUCUGGACCCUGGACCUGAAGCUAUGAAGAGCCUCUUCUUCCCUAGGGAAGGUUCCUGACUCUCCCCUCUCUCCCAUCUGAGGAUGGCUUAUUUU